GGUUCUGGUGGCAAUUUGGGUAUAACUCAUGCUUCAUAAAGAACCACACACUUGUGUAUCUACGACUCAUUAUGGGGUUUGCUGGACAAUUCCUUUGCAGUUAUAGCACCUUGCCACUCUAUGCCCUGGUUACACAGAUGGGUACAAACUAUAAGGCUGCACUGAUUCCACAGAGAAUAAGAGAAACGAUCCACGGAUGGGGAAAGGCAGCAAGAAGAAAAAGGAGGAUGCGUAUGUUCCCAGACGAUUCAACUGUCCACACUGAUACAAGCACCGUAAUGUCACUCGAGGAAUAUGAUAAUGACCAGUUGGUUGAUAGCCCUCGAACAGUGCAUGGUGCAGGUACAGAAAUUGAGUUGCAGCCACCACCAACUGUCACGGAGGAUCAUCAUCAUUCAGUAACAAUUAACGACACUUCAAGUCGUAUUGGUACUCCUCUCCUUCGUCCCUGUGCUUCUAUUUCUUCCGCAACUUCUCCAACUCUUCCACCUGAAGUAAUAUCAAGAUCAUCUUCAAUGCCUGCUA
rnacentral:misc_RNA from 1 species